UCCGGUUUGACACCGGCAGUCCCCCCAGAGUCCCCGGCCGAACCGUUGGCAACUAGAGACAAGGGUUUCGCUCGUUGAGGGACUUAACCCGACAUCUCACGACACGAGCUGACGACAGCCAUGCAACACCUGUCCACGUUUCACCCUUGCGGGCAGAGUAUCCGACUUUCAUCAGACCCAUCCGUGGAUUUCAAACCCGGGUAAGGUUCUUCGCGUUGCUUCGAAUUGAACCACAUGCUCCACCGCUUGUGUGAGCCCCCGUCAAUUCCUUUGAGUUUUAGCCUUGCGACUGUACUCCCCAGGCGGCAUAUUUAACGCGUUAGCUCCGGCACAGAUCAACUGAAUGACCUACACCAAAUAUGCAUCGUUUAGGGCGUGGACUAC
rnacentral:misc_RNA from 1 species